UACAGAGGUGGCAAGCGUUGUUCGGAAUUACUGGGCGUAAAGGGCGCGUAGGCGGCCUUCUAAGUCGGACGUGAAAGCCCCAGGCUUAACCUGGGAACUGCGUCCGAUACUGGGAGGCUUGGAUUCGGGAGAGGGAUGUGGAAUUCCAGGUGUAGCGGUGAAAUGCGUAGAUAUCUGGAGGAACACCGGUGGCGAAGGCGGCAUCCUGGACCGACAUCGACGCUGAGGCGCGAAAGCUAGGGGAGCGAACAGG
rnacentral:rRNA from 1 species